rnacentral:rRNA from 1 species
GGACGACGCUGGCGGCGUGCUUAACACAUGCAAGUGGAGCGACGAACCGGGGCUUGCCCCGGGGCAGAGCCGCGAACGGGUGAGUAACACGUGGGUAACCUGCCUCAAUGAUUGGGACAACCCGGGGAAACUCGGGCUAAUACCAAAUGUGUUCACUCCUUCCAAGGGGAGUGAGGAAAGGAAGCUUCGGCCUCCGCAUUGAGAUGGGCCCGCGGCCCAUUAGCUUGUUGGUGAGGUAACGGCUCACCAAGGCUUCGAUGGGUAGCUGGUCUGAGAGGACGAUCAGCCACACUGGAACUGAGACACGGUCCAGACUCCUACGGGAGGCAGCAGUGAGGAAUAUUGGGCAAUGCACGAAAGUGUGACCCAGCAACGCCGCGUGGAGGAUGAAGGUAUUCUAUAUCGUAAACUCCUGUGAGAGCAGACGAAAGACAGAUUAUUAAUUUGGAUGACUGUAUGCUCAGAGGAAGCCCCGGCUAACUACGUG